GCGAGAAUAGCUCAACUGGUAGAGCGGCAGCCUUCCAAGCUGUAGGUUGCGGGUUCGAGUCCCGUUUCUCGCU
rnacentral:tRNA from 1 species